UACGUAGGGGGCAAGCGUUGUCCGGAAUCAUUGGGCGUAAAGAGCGUGUAGGCGGUCCGAUAAGUCCGCUCUGAAAACCCGGGGCUCAACUCCGGGCCUGCAGCCGAUACGGGCAGACUAGAGUCGGCAGGGGAGACUGGAAUUCCUGGUGUAGCGGUGGAAUGCGCAGAUAUCAGGAGGAACACCGGUGGCGAAGGCGGUCUCUGGGGCAUUACCUGACGCUGAGGAGCGAAAGCAUGGGGAGCGAACAGG
rnacentral:rRNA from 1 species